AUGAACGCACACACGCACACCCUAUCCCUAUGAGCACCUUCGAGAGACUAAGCCGGCACAUCAUCUUGAGAUUGACGAAGUCGCCACUGACUUGAACUCUGGUGGACAGGGGAUACCACAGUCCUCCUAACCAUCCAACCACAGGUUGGUUUGCAGCACCCAAAUAUACCCGCCCAACUUAAUCUGACACUUGGCUAGCCCAAUAUAC
rnacentral:lncRNA from 1 species